rnacentral:rRNA from 1 species
UACGUAGGUCCCGAGCGUUGUCCGGAUUUAUUGGGCGUAAAGCGAGCGCAGGUGGUUUAUUAAGUCUGGUGUGAAAGGCAGUGGCUCAACCAUUGUAUGCAUUGGAAACUGGUAGACUUGAGUGCAGGAGAGGAGAGUGGAAUUCCAUGUGUAGCGGUGAAAUGCGUAGGUAUAUGGAGGAACACCGGUGGCGAAAGCGGCUCUCUGGCCUGUAACUGACACUGAGGCUCGAAAGCGUGGGGAGCAAACAGG